rnacentral:rRNA from 1 species
UUAGGACGAACGCUGGCGGCACGCUUAACACAUGCAAGUCGAACGGAGUUAUCGAGAGCUUGCUUUGAUAACUUAGUGGCGGACGGGUGAGUAACACGUGAGCAAUCUGCCCUUAAGAGGGGGAUAGCAGUUGGAAACGACUGAUAAUACCGCAUAAGAUAGUAGUACCGCAUGGUACAGCUAUAAAAGAUUUAUCGCUUAAGGAUGAGCUCGCGUCUGAUUAGCUAGUUGGUGAGGUAACGGCUCACCAAGGCAACGAUCAGUAGCCGGACUGAGAGGUUGGACGGCCACAUUGGGACUGAGACACGGCCCAGACUCCUACGGGAGGCAGCAGUGGGGAAUAUUGCACAAUGGAGGAAACUCUGAUGCAGCGAUGCCGCGUGAGGGAAGAAGGUUUUAGGAUUGUAAACCUCUGUUGACAGGGACGAUAAUGACGGUACCUGUUGAGGAAGCUCCGGCUAACUACGUGCCAGCCGCCGC